AGGCGAGGUGUGUGAUGGGUGAGCCUAGACGAGGACGAAACUCUCUCUUGUGUGUGUCCAGCUGCCAGAGGACGAGUACACCCUCCUCACCACCACUGACCAGAUACGUACCUGUGGGGGGGAGAACAUGAAAGAAUGAAAGUGAGUGGAGUUCUCAACUCUCUGGGAAGGGGAUUCCCUGAGGGCACAAACACAGCUGUGAGUUGACUCAGAGGAUCAGAUACCAUGGAGCACACUCUGGUCUUCUGGGGGGAGGACGUGGGGAGGGGGCACUGAGUAGAGAGAGUGAUGGUUUGGACGUGCUGUUCAACUUGUGGUGUACUGUAGAACCUGUAGCAAAAGUAGCACAUUGUAAAACGCCAUAAUAAAAUGCUAUAAUAAUAUGAUAAUUAUGCAUAGCAAUGCCUAUUAGCCACACACUGACACUGACCUCUGUUUUGUAGUUUGCUGCCUCCAAAGAUAUCCCAGAAUGCCCUCUCUGACGUGGGAACAUUGUCCCCUAGUAACGGCCGAGAGUCAUCACUCUUCUCUUUACCUUCCUCCUCCAGGCCAUACAAUACCUGUGUACACACAACAUAAUAAACGCACAUGACAUUGGGUCAUGGAGAUAAUAAGGCAAUAGCUACUGUAGGUUUACUAGUUAUAAUCUUCCUAAGAGCACUGGUAGUGUUGUACUAACCUGUGCCUUGUCCAUGAAGUACAGUGUGGAGGUACCCCCUGACUGAGGGGGUAGGAACACGCCCCCCAGCACUUGUCCCGAGCACACAGAGUGAUGUACGGCCAGUGGAGUGGGGGAAGAGGGGUCAAUCAGUCUUAAAGUUGACAGCCAGUAGUGACCCAUCCUCACUGAAGCACGCCCCCACACUCUCCAGACCAUGGUAGUAACCCACUGCCUGACACGACCAUGACACACCCACUUCCUCUCCUAGGAGGACCCACGUCUUGAAGUGGCUAUCUAGACUCGUGGAGACCAAUAGAGGGAUCUGAUUGGACGUCUUGUUGGUAUGGUGACGUGGUUGGAAGGUGAUGCUGGUGACAGGUCGAUCGUGAGGUGGCUCCACACAAGUGUUCAGAGUGUAUCUGAGGGAGACAAUAAAAUACAAUCAUGAUUACUGUAUAUGUGUCAAUAAUUAUUUGGCAGAGUAUAAUGUAUAAAGUAGCUAGCAGACAGUACUAUAAUUAAUUAUGGAGUCGAUCAUGUUGUUGGACAUAGAUGUACAUUGCGGAAAGGCACAGCAUUCAUUUAAACAAUGAAUCAUGUGAUGUGAUAAUGACAUACACACUUCUCGAUAAAAUCACUACUCACUAGACCACCCACACAAUUUCAGUUGAAAGACCACUGAAACUUAGAGCUGAGCAGUUUCAAGUACUGGGUAUCAAUGGCCACAAAUGCAAUGGCUGAAGCAUACAUUACCACAGACCACAAUGAGUUGACUCCUAGCCCGAGGCUAAAAGAUUUUGAAGAAGAGCUAUGCUUCGAUCAAGCAUUGGAGUGUUUCUACGAUCCACGAAGUAAAACUGGAGUCAUGUGUAAAUUUGAACUGAGAGUACAGGGACGGACGGAACCUAUACUAAUAAACUUUGUAAAAACAUCUAACCCUCAGCUUCAUGCAGAACAACUAUUUUGUAAAAAAGCAAACGAAGGAUUGCAAAGAAAUAGUCGAAUAUACACACCAGAAGCUGUAUCUGUUACAAUGUUGAUAGUCCGUGCUCUAAAUGUCGAGAAGACUUGCAAGCAUUGUUCAUUUCAUGUCGUGUACCCGUUCAUUUCACUUUAAGGAUAGCACGAUUGUAUUUAGAAAAGUCUAAACCUAAUGAAGCAGAAAGAAAGUUAGAUUACUGGAUAAAAGACCUCGAAGUGCGAAAAAUUAGAGUCUAUUUGAGUGCCAUCAAUGUCAUUUCAGAAAUAGCUAUGCUAACAAGAAAGGUGAAGAUAACUGAGGAACAAAGGAGCACCAGAAUAGACGAAGAUACGAGAAUUAACCGACAAAUUGAUAACAUUCAAAACGGGACUACACAUGUGACGAAUUUGAUUAAACACUUCAAAUUGGUGUGGUCAGGUUUGACACGAACAUACUUUAUAGACGAAAGUGAUAAACAAAUGAUACUACUCCGGCUCAUAGUCUCAGCUGUUACGAUGGAUGAGAAACGACCAACAGAGAUUAUAUAUUCAAAAAAACUAGAUGGAGAUGGAGAUCAUCUAUUACACGAAAUUAAAACUAGAAUUCCCUUGUCGUGGGGAUCUAUCAGAAAGUGUAUCAUACUGGUAUGUGCACACGUGCCCUCCAUCAAAUGCCAAGAGAGGAUUACGAAGUUCCUGGGAGAAAAAAAGCUUUAUGGAGUGAACAACAAACUGGUCCUAUAUAUCGCCAAAGUUCCUGUAGGCGAAGAAAGAGACAGUUUCAUUGAGUGGAUAGAGCGUCUAAGAGGAAAUUUAAUCCAUGUCUGCCUACAACCUUUCUAUGCUCCGUUGCCAUCCUUCUCAGGACAAAUAAUUGAUUGAUACGUCAUAUUGAAAACUGAAUUCCAGACUCUAAAAAGAGAACUAGAGUCCAGAAUGUCUCCUCCUCUCAGUGAAACGCAAUCACCGCAGCUAUCUUUGCCAGACUCAGAUGAAGAGAUGUCUUCAUAGGAGCAUUUUUAGGCAAAUUUGAGCCAAUAAUAUCACAAGGAUAAUACUAUACAUGUAAACCACAAUAUUCUUUGUCUAAAUACAUACUUUUAUUGUACUUAUA